rnacentral:rRNA from 1 species
CGUGGCGGCAGGCCUACACAUGCAAGUCGAGCGGUAGAGAGAAGCUUGCUUCUCUUGAGAGCGGCGGACGGGUGAGUAAUGCCUAGGAAUCUGCCUGGUAGUGGGGGAUAACGUCCGGAAACGGACGCUAAUACCGCAUACGUCCUACGGGAGAAAGCAGGGGACCUUCGGGCCUUGCGCUAUCAGAUGAGCCUAGGUCGGAUUAGCUAGUUGGUGAGGUAAUGGCUCACCAAGGCGACGAUCCGUAACUGGUCUGAGAGGAUGAUCAGUCACACUGGAACUGAGACACGGUCCAGACUCCUACGGGAGGCAGCAGUGGGGAAUAUUGGACAAUGGGCGAAAGCCUGAUCCAGCCAUGCCGCGUGUGUGAAGAAGGUCUUCGGAUUGUAAAGCACUUUAAGUUGGGAGGAAGGGUACUUACCUAAUACGUGAGUAUUUUGACGUUACCGACAGAAUAAGCACCGGCUAACUCUGUGCCAGCAGCCGCGGUAAUACAGAGGGUGCAAGCGUUAAUCGGAAUUACUGGGCGUAAAGCGCGCGUAGGUGGUUCGUUAAGUUGGAUGUGAAAUCCCCGGGCUCAACCUGGGAACUGCAUCCAAAACUGGCGAGCUAGAGUAUGGUAGAGGGUGGUGGAAUUUCCUGUGUAGCGGUGAAAUGCGUAGAUAUAGGAAGGAACACCAGUGGCGAAGGCGACCACCUGGACUGAUACUGACACUGAGGUGCGAAAGCGUGGGGAGCAAACAGGAUUAGAUACCCUGGUAGUCCACGCCGUAAACGAUGUCAACUAGCCGKUGGGAGCCUUGAGCUCUUAGUGGCGCAGCUAACGCAUUAAGUUGACCGCCCUGGGGAGUACGGCCGCAAGGUUAAAACUCAAAUGAAUUGACGGGGGCCCGCACAAGCGGUGGAGCAUGUGGUUUAAUUCGAACAACGCGAAGAACCUUACCAGGCCUUGACAUCCAAUGAACUUUGCAGAGAUGGAUUGGUGCCUUCGGGAACAUUGAGACAGGUGCUGCAUGGGUUGUC